rnacentral:rRNA from 1 species
CACCUAACAGCUAGCUUACCUAU